CGCUAAGAAGCUAAAUAUUGGACAAAGCAUUGGCCUUUUAAGCCAAAGACUGGUGAUUCCCGACCACCCUUAGUGA
rnacentral:tRNA from 1 species